rnacentral:rRNA from 1 species
UACGUAGGGGGCGAGCGUUGUCCGGAUUUAUUGGGCGUAAAGAGCUCGUAGGCGGUUUGGUAAGUUGGAUGUGAAAUCUCCAGGCUCAACUUGGAGGGGUCAUUCGAUACUGCCAUGACUAGAGUUCGGUAGGGGAGUGUGGAAUUCCUGGUGGAGCGGUGAAAUGCGCAGAUAUCAGGAGGAACACCAGCGGCGAAGGCGGCGCUCUGGGCCGGUACUGACACUGAGGAGCGAAAGCGUGGGUAGCAAACAGG